rnacentral:rRNA from 1 species
AACGUAGGAGACGAACGUUAUCCGGAGUUACUGGGCGUAAAGGGCGUGCAGGCGGUCUGAUAAGUUCGGCGUGAAAUAUUCCGGCUUAACCGGGAUAGGUCGUCGGAGACUGUCGGACUAGAGGGUGAUAGAGGCGUGUGGAAUUCCGGGUGUAGUGGUGAAAUGCGUAGAGAUCCGGAGGAACACCAGGUGGCGAAGGCGACACGCUGGGUCACACCUGACGCUAAAGCGCGACAGCAUGGGGAGCGAACGGG